CUUUACUUUGCUUUCAUAAUUAAAUUGGUGUCGAAUUUUGGGUGCAGGCCAUGGAUACCAAAGACAAGGAGAGCAAAUAAUUAAUUGGACAUAGAGUUUUUGUUAUUGCUGAGAGGCAUGAGUGGAGCUGGUGGUUUGAGUGCGAAAAUCUGGUGGCAGAUGAGUUGUUAGUGGUUGUGGGCGGUGGUGAUUGUUAGCCAUACCAUUGUGGUGAUUAAGGAAUAGAGGGAUGGUUUUCAACAACCGGUGAGCCAUUUGUAGUAAAGGAGGAUGAUUUCCAGUUUCAUUCCAAGAGGAUGAAUGCGAUAGUGGAGUUAAAGAAGACAUCAUGAAAACAUCAUGAAGGUUUAGUUGACAAAAACUUAAUUUGUAACGAACAUUAUGUAGAUGUACUAUUGGGACGUGCUCAACUGUCUCAAAAUAUUAGGUUUAACAAAUCACACUUUAACGCUUCUACG